AAGAAGUUCGGUGUAAUCAUUGUAUAUUGUGUUCCUAUUGUUUAUGUUAUGAAAACGUGUUUCCGGGAAAGAAUGAAAUGAACACUGAUUAAAAAGUUAACGAUUGUUGGAAGAACGUGACGUAAUGUCUUGUAAUUAUGCGGAAGGUCUUUCAGAUUACGAUGACAAAGGGAUUUGUGGCCUACCCGAGGAACACGAUGAUCUGGAUGAUAUCGUAGUAAAAGUAGAAUUAUUGGCUAAAUGGAUGAGAGAAUCUAAUCAUACUGUUUUUCACACUGGAGCAGGAAUUAGCACUUCUUCGGGCAUUCCCGAUUUUAGAGGACCAAAGGGAGUCUGGACUUUAGAAGAGAAGGGCAUAAAACCUCAAAUUAACACGUCAUUUGACGAGGCUGUGCCGACCACCACGCAUAUGGCAUUGCUGGCGUUGGAGAAAGCCGGAUACGUUCAUUACAUAGUCAGCCAGAACGUUGACGGUUUGCACUUACGAUCCGGAUUUCCUGCUUCUAAGUUGUCGGAGCUUCAUGGUAAUAUGUUUCUUCACAAAUGUAAUAAAUGUAAAAGAUUGUUCGUGCAAAAUACUGCAGGUAAAUCUGUUGGACAAAAAAAUACGGGAGUCUUGUGCCCUAUUCCUAAAUCUAACAAUAAACCAUGUCGUGGUACACUCUACGACACAAUUUUGGAUUGGGAAGAUGAAUUACCUGAAAUUGAUUUAAAAAUGGCAGAGAAACAUUCAAAAGAAGCUGAUUUGAGUAUUUGUUUAGGCACAACUCUUCAAAUAAUACCAAGUGGUAAUUUACCUCUCCUUACAAAAACAAAUAAUGGAAAAUUAGUAAUUUGCAAUUUACAACCUACAAAACAUGACAAGCAUGCUGAUUUACUCAUACAUGAUUAUGUGGACAAUAUCAUGAUUCAACUACUAAAAAUAUUGGAAGUGAAGAUUACUCCUUACUCGGAUGAUAUUGAUCCUACAAGAAAUUCAUCUUUAUUUAAGUACAUCGAACGUCCAUCUGUUAAAUUCAUAAGAAAUGAUAACAAAUGCAAGAAUAAGAAUUCAAAUCAUCAGAAAUUGAAAGAAGAGAACAAUGUUCAUAAAAAGUUAAAAUUGAAAAUUUCAUAGAACUUAAAGAUACUUGAUAUCUACUAUCAUCUAUAAUUUCAAUAAUUUAAUGAAAAUUCAACAUUGAGGUACCAUGUUAUAUAUUUGAAAGUAUAUAUCAUGCAAAUUGUAUAUAUGCAAUUGUUUUUUUAACAUGUUUACAGUGUCUAUAUAAUAAUUUGAAGCAAGAAAAUUGAAACAGUAUUUUACGAAUAUCUGUUAAUUUACUGCAAAGUGCAAGUGAAAAAUUGGCAUCGAGACACAUCAGUAGUUCCAUAAUGUGACAACUGGAUUUAAAAGCUAAAAUCACAGCAAAUCAGCAGUUAAAGCAGGAACAGGGCUGGUCUGUCCCAGAUAUGUUGGAGUCUGUACAUCUCAUCUGGCUGCCCCUUUGUGGUCCUAGCUAAACCUGUGACAGGUAAAAGAAAAAAAAAAGGCUUUUUAGUUCCCACAGGGUGACAAUAAUCAAAAAUUAAAAAGAAAUCUAAUAUUAACUUUUUAAAAAAUUUUCAGAAUGAAUUAAUGUUCCAUUUAAUAUGACGUAUACUGUAUAUCAGCAAUUAUUUGGUUAGUCAAAAUGUUUUUAAAUAUAAUAUACAGGGUGGGAAAGUCACUUAACACCCUUGCUACAGAAUAUAGAAUGUAUACAAAGUUAAUUCACUCAUGUCGGGAACACAUUAGACCAGGGGGAAACAGAUUGCUGUGUUACACGCAUGGCUGCCGUAUUGAAUGCAACUUGGAAACUAAAUGGGAAGGAGAUCAUGUGAUACAUUAAUUAGGGUCAGAGUUUCUUAAGGAAUUGAUUGCCGAAAGAUUUUAUUGACCUACCUCGAACGGUUACAGAGGGUUUGCACGUUACAUGAUGUGUUCAAUGUACCACGUACAUUCUUUGUGCACAUCGUAUAUUCUGUAGCAGGGGUGUUACAUGACUUUCUUUACCGUCCUGUAUUUUUGUUAUUUAAAAGUUAUCUUUUAAAUGUAAGCUGAAGUUCACAAAUAUAUAUAUAUAUUCCUUGAUUUACUUGGAAUUUGAUUUACUAUUUUCCCUUGAUUCCAAGGUGUACAAUAUUUAUAUUUUUAAGAUUUCUGAAAUCAGGAUGUAUCUUACAAUCAAUGUCAAAAGAAACUUGUCAGUUGUCAAGCAGAACAAAUUGCAAUCUACCAUCUCAAGGCAAGAGAUCUACCUAAAAAAAAAAAAUUUGAAAUUCAAGUUACUGAAGUAAUGUUGAGAAAUGUUCUGUAAUAAUUACAGAAUGUUUAUAAUGCUAGAUAUUGGAUGGUAUUAAUAAAGGAUAUGAAUUAAAUAUGAUCGAGCAACCCGAUUUUCAAUUUCUUUUGAGAUAGAGCCAUUUGCCCUGGUGACGUAGCAGUAUAGUUGUCAUUAGAUAUUUGCCUACCUUACCCGUUAUUAAUUUGUGUAUAUUGGUAAAACUAUGUGCCGAGAGUUUAACUUAAAUUUGUACCUCUGUCUAUCAUUUAAAAUGUAUUCUUAGAAUUACAAUGCAUUGAAACAAGUGUUUUACAUGUCGAGUUUAUUUACUUUGAUUGAAAUACUGAAAUAAAUAAAUA